AGCCCCUUGAAUAUUUAAGGGGUCCCGCCUGCCCGGUGGCUUGAAGCUAAACGGCCGCGGUAUCCUGACCGUGCAAAGGUAGCAUAAUCAUUUGUCUUUUAAAUGGAGACUCGUAUGAACGGCGAAACCUUUUCCAACUGUCUCCCUUCCUGCCCUUUUAAAUUUCCCUCUGUGUGAAGAGGCACAGAUGAGAAAGAAAGACGAGAAGACCCUGUCGAGCUUCAGCCAUUAAGUGAUCCUAAUUCCUUUCUUAAGUAUCACUAGAAGGCUUUGGUUGGGGCAACCACGGAGAAGAAGAAUCCUCCAGAACUAAUAGAAGAAAACCCUUCACUAUUAAAAUAACUAUCAAAGAACCAGGAACUGGUAUUCGGAAAGAGUUACCGCAGGGAUAACAGCGUUAUCUUCUCUAAGAGUCCUUAUUGACGAGAAGGUUUGCGACCUCGAUGUUGGAUUGGGGCCCCCUUAAGGUGCAGAAGCUUUAAACGGUUAGACUGUUCGUCUAUUAAAGCCCU
rnacentral:rRNA from 22 species